AGAGUUUGAUCCUGGCUCAGGAUGAACGCUGGCGGCGUGCCUAACACAUGCAAGUCGAACGGGCGCGGCGUGCGGCAGGGGCCUCGGCCCCUGCGGCGUCGCGCGAGUGGCGGACGGGUGAGUAACGCGUGGGCAACCUGCCCUGUACUGGGGGAUAACACCUGGAAACAGGUGCUAAUACCGCAUAAGCGCGCUGUGCCGCAUGGCGCGGCGCGGAAAACCCCGGUGGUACAGGAUGGGCCCGCGUCUGAUUAGCUGGUUGGCAGGGUAACGGCCUACCAAGGCGACGAUCAGUAGCCGGCCUGAGAGGGUGGACGGCCACACUGGGACUGAGACACGGCCCAGACUCCUACGGGAGGCAGCAGUGGGGGAUAUUGCACAAUGGGGGGAACCCUGAUGCAGCGACGCCGCGUGGGUGAAGGAGCGUUUCGGCGCGUAAAGCCCUAUCGGCAGGGAAGAAGAUGACGGUACCUGACCAAGAAGCCCCGGCUAACUACGUGCCAGCAGCCGCGGUAAUACGUAGGGGGCAAGCGUUAUCCGGAUUUACUGGGUGUAAAGGGGGCGCAGACGGCAAUGCAAGCCAGGAGUGAAAGCCCGGGGCCCAACCCCGGGACUGCUCUUGGAACUGCAUGGCUGGAGUA
rnacentral:rRNA from 1 species